rnacentral:rRNA from 1 species
AGAGUUUGAUUAUGGCUCAGGAUGAACGCUGGCGGCGUGCCUAACACAUGCAAGUCGAACGAAGCUCCUGCGACAGAUUCCUUCGGGAUGAAGAUGCUUGAGACUUAGUGGCGGACGGGUGAGUAACGCGUGGGUAACCUGCCCUGUACUGGGGGACAACAGUUAGAAAUGACUGCUAAUACCGCAUAAGCCUACGGAGUCGCAUGACUCAGCAGGAAAAAUUCCGGUGGUACAGGAUGGGCCCGCGUCUGAUUAGCUAGUUGGUGAGGUAAUGGCUCACCAAGGCGACGAUCAGUAGCCGGCUUGAGAGAGUGAACGGCCACAUUGGGACUGAGACACGGCCCAA